ACGUUCCAGUUGGCAACACUGCCAGGUGACAGCAACAACAGGAGGCCGCCGCCGCCGCCGCCAAGCACCAGCUGCCCCGUAAAACAGACAGGCCGCCGGACCACAGUGACCUACUGACCCACCUUGACAGUCCUCCAACAGACACUGAACCACCAGUCUGACAGCCGACCUCAGACAGCUCGCCCUCGGGCGGUGAAGACACUGGCGGACCUACUUCCCCCGCCGCCCCCUGGACACAGCCAUCACCCGCCUGAGGACUGGCCGCACACGCCUCAACGCCCACCUGCACAGACUGAACAUAAUCCAGGACCCACACUGCCCAUGGUGACUCACACAAUCCGACACACCGUAACACCUGCUGCUCCACUGCCCCAGAUUCCACUCCCUCCGCACCAACCUAGCUCAGAGCAUCCCUAACCAGUCUCCGCAUUCACAGGCCAACCCUAGAGGACCUGCUGGGCAGCAACACCCUCAGCCCCAACACGGCCUUCCAAGCCCUCAAGUGUACGCAGACCUUCCUGCAGAAGUCGGGGCAACUCGACAGGAUCUAACCCCCACUCUGGUGACAGAACGACAAACUCAAAACAGCUGAUAGCAUCUCCUACUGACAGGGCUCUGGAGACCGUGGUCCCACAGCGUAACUAGCCCCAUAAAACACUCCAAAAGAAGAAGAAGCCUGUUAAACACUGCAGAAGAAGAACUCUAUAGAGGCACCAGCCCCUAAAACACUGGCAGGACAUCAAAGGCAACCAGGCCCCAAAACCCUCCAGAGGAAGAAGAGGCCGUGGUCCCGUGGCCUAACCAGCCCCGUAAAAUCCUGAAGAAAAAUAAGAAACCUUCUUCCCAAACUGCCUGCUGCCAUUACUGCUGCUACGACUACUACUCUGCUUCCUGUUCACGGCACUGACGACCGAGCCAGCACAGCAACAACAGCUUCCUGCAGGUGUGGAGGAAAGAGAACAGGGACAACAGCAACACACUCCAAGGCUGCCGCCGCAAAGGUUGGGGCGUCUUCCACAGCAAGACAGGCAGCCCACCACGCUGGUGUGUGGAGGAACAACAACAGGGACAACAGCAACACACUCAGCUGCCACAAAGGUUGGGGCUGCCUCACUUGCAGGGCUGGGCAGCAAGUGUGCUGGCAGGAGGCUGCAGGGCUGGACAGUAGGUGUGCUGGCAGGAGGCUGCAGGGCUGGACAGCAGCAUGAGUGGCCAGGACAAGCAGGAGCAGACUGCUGCAGGAGGCAGGAGUGUCAGUGGUCAUCAGAUGAAACAACUUGCUGCUGGCAACUCCAGCAACAAAGGAGAGAGGAAGUUUGUGUGUCUGGAGUGUGGAAGAGAAUUCACCUCAAGGGAAGGCCUCAGAUAUCACACAUUUACACACACUGGUGUAAAGAACUAUGAAUGUAAGGAAUGUGGGAAAAAAUUCAUCCUGAAGAGUACCCUUGAUACACACGCCCUUACACACACUGGUGUAAAGAACUAUGAAUGUUAUGAAUGUGGGAAAAAAUUUAUCCAGAAGAGUAACCUUGAUAAACACACCCUUACACACACUGGUGUGAAGAACUAUGAAUGUAAGGAAUGUGGGAAAAAAUUUAUCCAGAAGGGUCACCUUGAUAGUCACACCCUUACACACACUGGUGUGAAGAACUAUGAAUGUAAGGAAUGUGGGAAAAAAUUUAUCCAGAAGAGUAACCUUGAUACACACACCCUUACACACACUGGUGUGAAGAACUAUGAAUGUGAGGAAUGUGGGAAAAAAUUCAUCCACAAGAUUAGCCUUGAUAGACACACCCUUACACACACUGGUGUGAAGAACUAUGAAUGUAAGGAAUGUGGGAAAAAAAUCAGUCGGAAGGGUGACCUUGAUAGACACACCCUUACACAUACUGGUGUGAAGAACUAUGAAUGUACGGAUUGCGGGAAAAAAUUCAGCAAGAAGGGUACUCUUAAUAGACACACUCUUACACACACUGAUGAGAAGAACUAUGAAUGUAAGGAAUGUGGGAAAAAAUUCAAACAGAAGAGUGGCCUUGAUAAACACACCCUUAGGCUUCACACACUGGUGUAAAAAGUCAUGAGUGUGAAGAGUGCAGGAAGAGGUUCAGUGUGAAGUCUGCCCUUAACAAACACGUCUUCAGGCACUAAGGCCUUAGAGAGUUCAAGUGUGAUGUUUGUGGAAAGCUCUUUAAGAUAAAGAAAGACAUUGCCAAGCACAUGAAGAUCCACUUCAGAAGUGUGUCUGCCUUCAGUAGUUAUAGUGACGAGGGUGUUGGCAGCAGCUGAGCCUGAUAGGGAAAGGGAAGUGAAGGAGAGGUAAAAGUGAUCUUGUAAGACAAGGAAGAAAGAAGGCUUGCCUGUGAAGUGAUAAAAGGAGAGGAGCCACAGCAAGAAGAGGAAGGGAAAUACUGAUGGCUAACUUUCCACAGCUGUGGCAGCUGCUCCUGGGCCUGGAGCCUGGUUGAGUCUCACAGCUACAGUGAAAUACUUACUCCUCUGUGAGGUGAGGGGCAAGAGAAUGUCACCUAACACUAAAAUAGCUGGAACAUGUAUUUAUAAACCAUUGCUGCAGCAAAAGAAUCAAUGCCUUACAGUGGUGUGCUUCACCCAAGAGUACCACAGAUGCAAGUGCUUCCAACACCUCUCCGGCCAUUGUACUGCCCUGCCUCAGAAGUGUCUAAGACGAGCUUCAAAACUUGUCCUGUGUUGUGGAGGGGCUGCGGUGGUCUGGCAGUCAGGGCCCCAGGCUGCUGACCAGAGGGGCGACAGUUUGCGCCUCUCCACGGGCAGCUGUUGGUGGGAUUGGUCAGCCCUGGCCCGCACUGGGCUGCCUGACAAUGAUGCUCCAUCCCCCUCCCUUGGGCUGUGUCCCCAACAAACAGUGAACAAGUCAGUGAGGGAAUAAACAGCUCUGAACACCACAGCCAUGCAAGGACGACUGAAAUUGUCCAGGAAAGUUGUUACUUAGUGAAAAUUGAUAAGAAAUAGCACAGAGGAUGUCAGAAGUGGUGCUGCUAAGGCAAUACUUGGAUCAGCAGCAACAGUCUCAACUCUUCCUGACCUUGUUGUUGGCAGGGUGUGCUGGUCUGUGCCUCCCUGCUGACAGAGAGAAGCAGAUGGCCCGUGCAGUGAUACAAGGGCACAGAGGUGACAGCAUCAGGAAGGUUGUUACAUGGAGGCAGGGUGUGCUGCUCUGUGCCUCCCUCACCCUGUUCCUGCCUAGACUGGCUCUGAGUGGCCGUGGCAGUACAGUUUCCCAAUGCUCCUCACCUGCCUGACUAGGUCCAUCGGCUGUAUGAGGAUGGAUAUGUCCCGGCCCACGGCGUUGAGGCGGUCCGCUAUCUCCAUGUGCUGCCAAGGAGGUGCAGAGAGGUGUUCCCUUCCCGCACCAUGCCCAGCGGCUGCCCCUCCGUCUCCCGCUUGAGGGCGAACACCUUGCCGUGGGGGACGCGCCGGAUGAUGAACUCAAUCUGCGGCGGGUGAACGGCACAUGAGGGAGAGGGAGCACGCAGCGGAGGAAAAAGACAGGAGCGGCACACGGAAGACUCAUGAGAGGCGUGGAAGCGAGCGGACAGAGGUAAACAGCAAGUAACCCAUGACUAAAAAAUAACACACAAUCUUACAUCAUGUUUUGAGGCCGAGAAACUGAGAAGACAAAAAGCAAAUUAAGAUACAGUAACAACGCCCAUGGAAACAGGCAAACAGUGGCCGGUCCAUAACCAACAGGUAACAAAGUCUUGCAUCAUGUUCCUGAGGCUGACAAACUGACGAGGAAAAAUGGGUUGAUAUGAGAGAACAAAACGUACGAGGCCAGAUAUUAAUGAUACUCUUCCUCCUCUUGUUUGAUGUCCUUCAUUCCCUUGUGGAUACUGGGCGGAAAAUUACACUCAUAUAGGAAGGUUGGGAAGGAGUUCCUAAUUAUAAUAAGUAAGUAAAUAAUAACUACUUCUAUGCUUGUGUAAUGCUUGAGUUUUAUACCUGUCAUUCAUUGCUUAUAUGUAGUGUUAAGACCAAGAUAAAACUGUAAAGGAAAAAAUCAGUAAAACCAAUUUUGUAACGAUCAAAAUGUGUUUCCUUAUUAACCCGUCCGCUGCGAUUGGCAAGGAUUUUGCCUUCACUGGUAGCCUGGUAACAUACACUCCCUGGUCUUUCUCUGCCUCUGUGGUGGAUAGUGGAGUGUUUCCCAUGUGGUAUUGGUGUGCUGGAUAUCCCUUCACUGGUAGCCUGGUAACAUACACUCCCAGGUCUUUCUCUGCCUCUGUGGUGGAUAGUGGAGUGUUUCCCAUGUGGUAUUGGUGUGCUGGAUAUCCCUUCACUGGUAGCCUGGUAACAUACACUCCCAGGUCUUUCUCUGCCUCUGUGGUGGAUAGUGGAGUGUUUCCCAUGUGGUAUUGGUGUGCUGGAUAUCCCCUCCCAAGGUGCAGGACUACAUUUUUCUUCACUGAAUUGUAGCAGCCACUUUUUGUUCCAUUCCUGUAGGUUGGUGAGGUCUUUUGGUAGGAAAUCCGCAGUCAAGGGGUUA